rnacentral:rRNA from 1 species
UACGUAGGGCGCAAGCGUUGUCCGGAAUCAUUGGGCGUAAAGAGCUCGUAGGCGGCCUGUUGCGUCCGCUGUGAAAGCCCGGGGCUUAACCCCGGGUCUGCAUUCGAUACGGGCUGGCUGGAGUGUGGUAGGGGAGAUCGGAAUUCCUGGUGUAGCGGUGAAAUGCGCAGAUAUCAGGAGGAACACCGGUGGCGAAGGCGGAUCUCUGGGCCAUUACUGACGCUGAGGAGCGAAAGCGUGGGGAGCGAACAGG